rnacentral:lncRNA from 1 species
AAAAGUUUUCAAGGUACGCUAUUGUGAAACACUGUAGAGACGUCAAAUUCUGGUCACCCCAGCUGAAGGGUCAGGAAUGAGUAAGCUGUGAGUAUUUAUUCUAGGAUGACUACACGGAGGCCCUCCAGCUUGACUGGGUCUUCAAAGACACCCGGAAUCCCUCAUGCCUUGUGGAGGCCAACAGAAGAGCCAGUGGGCUGCCAUUGGGGGUGGGCUGGGGGCUGCACUACCCUGCAGCAAAGGGCACAAAGGAGGCCAGGGCCGAUGUAUGAGGGUUGGGGGAGAGAGUCUCUAACGUGUAGCAGUCGGGGUGGCAAAGGCACAAGGAGCAAAGUGCGAUGGCAGCGACCACCAGGAACACAACCCAGCACAAGAAGCAGACCAGCACCGACCCUUGUCACAGCAUUCAGAAACACACACCAGCAAUGCCUCAUGGGGACCAGUCCAGGGAGCAGAGGGGCCACUUGGCAGCUGAGGCCAGCAAGGCUCCAUGAACCCACAAGAACCCGCCGUACACCUGCCUCCAGUCCCUGGUGCCAACUCAGAGGCAAGCAGGGCAGGGAUGAUGAUGUUCUAAAGAUGCAGAGGAGAAGCUGAGAGAUUGUUGAAAGUAUUGCAGCGUGCUGGAUCGCUUUUCCUUACAACCCAGUGCAGCGGUGGAAGCAGGGAACCGAGAACCUGACAUGAUCUGAAGUCUCUGUCGAGUUGGAGUUGGCGAGCUCAGGUGUGUUCAGGUGGUACCUUUAAACGCGCAGGCGCAGAUGCAGAGACGACUCCUGAGCUGGGAUCUGCAGUGGCGCCAGGACCUGCGACAUCAGCAAGAUGGAUGGCGGCCCGGCCAGGAUCAGUGCCAGCCAGCAGAGGCC